rnacentral:rRNA from 1 species
UAAUGUCUCAGAUUAGCCAUGCAUGUCUAAGUAUAAGCUUUAUACUGUGAAACUGCGAAUGGCUCAUUAAAUCAGUUAUAGUUUAUUUGAUGGUGUUUCUUACUCGGAUAACCGUAGGAAAACUAGAGCUAAUACGUGCGUAAAUCCCGACUUCGGAAGGGACGUAUUUAUUAGAUAAGAGGCCGACCGGGCUUGUCCCGACCUUCGGUGAAUCAUGAUAACUUCACGAAUCGCACGGUCCUGAACCGGCGAUGUUUCAUUCAAAUUUCUGCCCUAUCAACUUUCGACGGUAGGGUAGUGGCCUACCGUGGUGGUAACGGGUGACGGAGGAUUAGGGUUCGAUUCCGGAGAGGGAGCCUGAGAAACGGCUACCACAUCCAAGGAAGGCAGCAGGCGCGCAAAUUACCCAAAUCCCAACUCGGGGAGGUAGUGACAAGAAAUAACGAUGCUCCGGCCUCUGGUCGGGUAAUCGGAAUGAGAACAAUUUAAAUCCCUUAUCGAGGAUCAAUUGGAGGGCAAGUCUGGUGCCAGCAGCCGCGGUAAUUCCAGCUCCAAUAGCGUAUAUUUAAGUUGCUGCGGUUAAAAAGCUCGUAGUCGGAUUUCGGGUGGCGCCUACCGGUCCGCCUUUGGUGAGUACUGGUAGGUACCACCUUUCUGCCGAGGACGGGGUUCUGGGCUUAGUUGUCUGGGCCCCGGAGUCGGCGAUGUCACUUUGAGUAAAUUAGGGUGUUCAAAGCAGGCUUAUGCUCUGUAUACACUAGCAUGGGAUGACACGAUAGGACUUCGGCUUAUCUUGUCGGUCUGUAGGUCGGAGUAAUGAUAAAGAGGGACAGUCGGGGGCAUUCGUAUUUCGUAGUCAGAGGUGAAAUUCUUGGAUUUACGGAAGACGAACUUCUGCGAAAGCAUUUGCCAAGGAUGUUUUCAUUGAUCAAGAACGAAAGUCGGGGGCUCGAAGACGAUUAGAUACCGUCGUAGUCUCGACCAUAAACGAUGCCGACUAGGGAUCGGAGGUGGUUUUUUUAUGACCUCUCCGGCACCUUACGAGAAAUCAAAGUUUCUGGGUUCCGGGGGGAGUAUGGUCGCAAGGCUGAAACUUAAAGGAAUUGACGGAAGGGCACCACCAGGCGUGGAGCCUGCGGCUUAAUUUGACUCAACACGGGGAAACUUACCAGGUCCAGACAUGGGUAGGAUUGACAGAUUGAUAGCUCUUCUGAUCAACGGGG